rnacentral:snoRNA from 1 species
UUCAGAGAUGAAAUUGCUGCAUAGGAAGUGCCGUCUGAUGCGAUAACUGACGUUGGAUAAAGCUGCUCUGAGA